AAAAAUACAAAUGCCCUAGAGCUAGCUUCGGAGAUUGGCCAAAGUCCAUCAUAAUCCACUGCCGGAUCGAGAGGAGACCCGAGACCCCUAGAAAGAAGACCAGCAAGCAGGUCGCGCGAGCCCAAUAGACCACCAAGGGAGAUGUGCGCGCGGCCGGCUACUAGUGAGAUGUGCCUCCAUCAUAGCACACCAUGUGAUGCGGGAGGAGCCUGCUGUUCCGCCUCUCAUCCCCCUACUUCUUCCAAGAUGCAAUCAUGCUGCCCCAAGCUCCUCGGGCCCUCGGCCGCCAUGAUUGCCUCACCGCCUCUCAAGAGUCGCCUCCACCUACUUCCAAGAGGAAGAGGCCGGAGAAGCUAUAGUCCGUGAAGAAAUCAAGCGGAGGGGCGGCGGUGUAGGAGGGGCCGGCGGAGGAGAGAGAGGGCCGGGGGAGGUGACAGAAAGCUAGAGAGAGAUGCAUGAUGGAGCAUGAUGAUGGCGUGGUUGAUCUCUUCGAUCUAGCACUUCUAUCAUUCGAGUCAAGAAGCCAUCAUCAGAUCGGUGCAGUCCUCCCUCCUCCUCCUCCUCCUCCUCCUUCCAGCUCCUCUUUAUCAGCUUCUCUGUAACGCUGCGCCGCCAUGGCUUUGGGGGAAUCAAGCGCCUUGGUCCGAAGAAAUCCGUCUUCUUUUCCUAGCUAGGAUCUACGUACUUGUGCAAGAGUAUGUCAUGCAUGCUACGCUAUAUGUUAUUCCUACAUGUUCUUGGUCGAUCUGUCGCUACAUAUGGUUUGUGCAGACAUCAAUACUCGUCUGUCUUUGAUUGAUUUGUUUUGACACCACUCUUUGAUCCGGAGUUUGGUUCAUGUAAUACUAUUUCAUUAGAUAUGUGGAUUUCUUCUUUGAGCUGAGCGUUUGACGCUGUGUGUGUGUGUUUCAUGAUUGAUUCAUGAUCCGAAUAUAUACGGCCCAUAACUAUCCCAGCUAGCUGUUUUCUAGAGAGAUAUGAUCUAAUAGUAUUUAGAUCAGAAGAACAACAUGAAAUACACAUAUAUGUGCAUCUUCUAGCUUCGAUCCCAUAUAUGUACCUUUCCCUGAUCUCUUCUUAUGAUCGAAACGUGUGCUCUAGUUCUAAGAAGUUGUGAGUUUAGCUUUGCCUUAAUACGUGUAUUUUAGUUUUGUCAGGAAAAGAAGAAGCAAAGCUAAAGAUUCAUUACAUGAUACUAGUACUCUAUAUACUGCAUGCAAAUGCAACACAUUAAACUAAAGCCCAACCGUAUUCACGAAUCACGAGCUUGAGUAAGACCAGCAGCCUGCUAAAGAUUCUUUGACUGCCACAAAUCUCUCUUGGGCAUUGCAUAUACUAGCUAGUAUCUAUGAGAGGUUCCAGGUGCGGCUGGUGCCAAGCUAGAGCUACCCCUGCUACUGCUAGCAUGCCAUGGCAUCGUAUUGGCCAGUUAGCUGAGGCAGUCCUUCUAGCGUCACAUGCAUGCACACCUCUUUAUUCCAGUCUUCCUUUUCCUACGCAACAACCCCCAAUGUGAGGAUUAUGUUUACUGAUAAAGUUGAAAAGUAUCGAAGAGUAGCAAUAUGCGUCAUCUAUAUUGUAUUAUGCAUAUAUUAUCUGUCAUUUCAUUGUUAUGGAUUCAUGUAUCAAAUAAAUUCUUGUUCAGUUAAUGUUUCCUGAAAAAUGUUGUCCAGUUUAUGAGCCGGGGGCUUCAUCGUUUUCAUCUACUUGUUGAGCUACUGCCUAAUGGUACCUAGCUCCUUAGUAUACAUUGGAAAAAUGUUUUUUUAUUUUGUACUCUCUUUAUCUUA
rnacentral:lncRNA from 1 species